rnacentral:rRNA from 1 species
UACGGAGGGUGCGAGCGUUGUCCGGAAUCACUGGGCGUAAAGGGCGCGUAGGCGGCGCGGAUAGUCGGCGGUGAAAGCCCGGAGCUCAACUCCGGGUCGGCCGUCGAUACUUCCGGGCUUGAGCACUGUAGAGGCAGAUGGAAUUCCGGGUGUAGCGGUGGAAUGCGUAGAGAUCCGGAAGAACACCGGUGGCGAAGGCGGUCUGCUGGGCAGUUGCUGACACUGAGGCGCGACGAGCGUGGGGAGCAAACAGG